GUCUCAGGCCUUAUCAGCCUGAAGGCGCCCGAUCUCGUCUGAUCUCGGAAGCUAAGCAGGGUCGGGCCUGGUUAGGAAUUUGGAAGGGAGACCACCUGGGAAUCCCGGGUGCUCGAGGCU
rnacentral:rRNA from 1 species